rnacentral:tRNA from 1 species
UUUAAUUUAGCAUAACAUAAUGCGAAGAGUUUAAGCCCUCUUAGAUCUUAAUUAAAA